CGUGGAUUACCUUUUCCGCAGCCAUCGUUCGGCUCUCGAUCGGGAGUGUCUGGCAACAAAGGACGCUGAUCUUUGGCGUGUAGGUUUUGGCGAUGGAAGAAGUAUUACGGUGACUUAGAAUUCUUUUUUACAGAUCACGGUGAUUUUUGGUCGGCGUUGUGGCUGCUUGGACUUGAUCGAUGCAUUCUCGCCCGCGGACAAUCUGGAUCUGAAUAUGAGUAGGUCGUCGAUGAAUGGAUCUCAUGUGCUCUCCUGUUAAUAUAAGGUUCUUUCUGAUGUAGUGGAUGUGUAAAGCCAGAGAUCUCCUCCGAGGGUAAGGUAAAAUAGGGAUGUUGUCUGGUGAUUAAUCUUAUUAGGCUGUCAUCUCGGCCUUUGCCAUAUUGGGUGCGCUCGCAUGGCAGGUCAAAGAACCGUAAUAAAGUAUGCCAAUUUUCGUGUGUUUGGUGGGAACGCAUGGGGUGUUUUCGUACCCCAGGUUCUCACCCUCGUGUGCCUUGUCUCGUUAUUGUGAUCCUUCUAUGUCGCUAGUAAACUCGCUCUUGGAUUCUUUGAACUAGUACUUUAAGGGUACCUUGCAUGACCAAAAUACCAGAGGGUCAUAGUGCAAUCAUCACAUUCUAAUUCGUUUACUUGUCAUCUUAUUUGGUAUUACCUCCACUAGCGCACCCAUUAUCGAAAUUGAAAGUUAUGACAUACGUCUCCUAUUAUUUUUACUAACUAAAAUUUGAUCGUCAUUAUGAAUAAUCUCACUCUAUUCAGUCCACGCUUAUAUGCAUAAUCCAUCUUUACCUUUGAUUUAAUGUUGAUAUAUGCUACAUAGUUCCAUUAGUUUUGAAUGUUAAGAUGUAUCGUUUUUUCCUUUCUGAACUUAUUUAUCAAGUUUGAUAGUUUUUGAGGUCAGUUGGUAUGUGAUAAAUUACCCGCUGCUGAUUGUGGAGACAUUGAGCUUAUUCCUUGUCCUUCUAGUGGACUCUUCAAUCUUUUGGAUUUGGAGGACAACUGGGGACAGAAUAAGCUCUUUCUUUGGUUUUGAUAAUAUUUUUACAUAAUACAAUGAAGUUGCUGUCA